ensembl:lncRNA
GUCAGCUGGAAAAUUUACCAGGCAGGAAAGAGACCAGAGAGUGCUGUCUUUCCUGAAGGCCACUGAGCACCACCACUCUGGGAAAUGACAGAAGGCUGAAUGUUUUGGCAAUCAAAUUUGGGAAGCAGUUUCUGCAAGAGGUCGGUGCUGCCUGAGUUCCCCCAGCAGAAGACACUUUAUCCCAUUACGAACAAACGGCAUUACUUACUGAAGGAGUUGAAUGCUGUGGUAUUUCCCAGUGUGCCACAUGGCUGCAGAAAUGAAAAUAUCACCUCUUCUAAAAUUUGCUUUAAAAAUGAAUGCACAAACUGCAAUCAAAAUAGAAUCAAAGGAAAAAAGCAAACAAACACAACGAGCUUGAUGAAUAUGGAAAAGGGAGAAAUGAAGGAGGUGGUGAAAAGAAACAGCAAGUCAUGUAAAGGAAGCUGUAAAAAGUCUCCUGCGAUUUAGAUUAGGACAGUUCAGGAAUUCUUCCAUUCUUAUUUGAGUUUCUGUGAAUUUUACUAUCGCUUGCAG